AAUCUACUGAUAAAGCAGGUUAUUAGCCUUAUUUGCAGGAUGAUUUGGGGUAAAUUCUGUGGGUCUCUUCCUCUGGUUUUUAGCUGUGUGCUCAGAGCACCACUUCCUCUUACGGCAACAGCCACCAGAUCUGCGCUGUGAUCAGCCCCGUAUUCAACCACCUCUCCUGACAAGUGCGGGCAGAAUGUGGCUCCUGUCCCGGCUGGUCCUGGUGGCCUCCCUUUGCAGCUAUACAAAUGGAGGCAUUUCCAUAACACAAUUCAUACCAUCCAUUACCAAGAAAAAAGGAAACACAGCAUUUUUAGAAUGCCAAGUAAAAACGGGUGUCUUAAAGAAAAACGUAAAUAUACACUGGUAUCGACAGAGGCCAGACCAGCCUCUAAAACGCAUUCUGUAUAUUUCCUCAAAUGAAAAUGUGGUCCACGAACAAGGUGUUAGUGAGGAAAAAUAUGAAGCCAGGAAACGACAGAGGGAUUUGCCAGCGAGCCUGAGGAUACACAAAAUUAGUGAGGAUGAUGCUGGGCUGUAUUACUGCGCCUGCUGGGAUCCACUGUAUGGAAAUGCGCCACUGACACUGAACAAAAACCCUCCCAUGACCCCACACCCCUGCAAACACAUACACACACCUUUCUUCCUCCCACAGGGACUGACCACUGUCUCUACAGGACUUGUCUCCUGCAUCUGUGUCCUCAGCAAGGUCUGUGCUAGGAGCCCAAGGAUGUAA